UCAGUACAAGCUGGCUGAUGAGAAAGACAGACGCACAGCACAAAAGCAUUUAUAGGUUCAGGGCAAUGAGGGGUGCAGCUCCUGCUGACUCCCCUGGGCUGGCAGCCUUCCACCUGCUGGAGGCGCCACAGCCCACCACCAAGCUGCUCCCUGCAAACUAGCUUUAAGCCUGUGUCUCUGCUGAAAGGUGUAUUUUAGCCAAACUAGAGUAACAGGAAGGCUGCCAUUGUUAGGACUGAUUAUUCACAGUUGAUUCACCUUCCAUUGAAUCUCGCUCUCCCUUGGGAGUUGAAAGGUUAAAAAAGAAGGGAAGGAGGGAGAGACAAAAAGGAGGAACUCCCUCUUGUGCCUGCUUCUAAUGCUAGCCCUCAACAGGGUUGAGAAAUCUUUUAUCCCAAGACCAGGAGUUAAGUUUUAACAUGAAAAGCACUGAAUUUCAGCAGUGAAGCACAAACAAUUUUCAUGACAAAAGUCUUUGCAUGUUCUGAAGCUCAGGUUUGUGUGGAGGGGGUGAGGGGGUCCUGGCUGUAUCCUACUCUGAGCUUCUUGGACUCUGAAGACGCUGGGAAGGAGGUGUGAUUCCAGGAAUCAAACACAAGGCCCUAAACCUGUGAGGCAAAUGUUCCACUGCUAAGCCACACCCCCAGCUGAGUCAAAGCAAUUUUAGAUGCACCAGAGAUCCUGACCGCAUGGUCUGCCCAAGAGGCUGACAGAUGGCAACAGAGAAGGAGACAGAAUUCAACAUGCCAGGAAGCCCUCCCGGUGAAGAAGGCUGAGCGCAGGCAUAUUCUCUGAGCUUCUGGAGAAAGUCACAGUGGGGGGAUGAAGCUUCUGAUUUUGGCACAGCGGUGCCAGUUCCCUUCAAAGGACAGCUCAGCACUGAUCUAAAGGAAGGCCUGACUUGAAGAGGGAGCUAAAAAUACCAUCUUCUUCUCUCUCCUUGAAGGAAAUCACAUUCCUCCUGUAAUGUCUUCACUUCAGUCCUGAUUUUUGGAAAACAUAAAGAGAGCUAAAUAAAAGAGAUCAGCCUAAUUAGCACACAUUUGAAUCUAAAAUGUUGCAAAUAAAUAUAUUUAGAAAGCCAAUGUAGCUAAAGUGUCUAAUUUAGAAGCAGAAGUUUGGAAACAGAAGUGAUUCAAAGACACU